GGCUGGUCCGAUGACAGUGGGUUAUCAGAACUUAUUAACAUUAGUGUCACUAAAGUUGGUAUACCACCUCCCCACUGCUAAAUUUGACUGGCUUAAA
ensembl:misc_RNA Y_RNA Y RNA